rnacentral:rRNA from 1 species
GAUGAACGCUAGCUACAGGCUUAACACAUGCAAGUCGAGGGGCAGCAUGAACAAAGCUUGCUUUGUUUGAUGGCGACCGGCGCACGGGUGCGUAACACGUAUCCAAUCUGCCCGCGGCUCGGGGAUAGCCCAUCGAAAGAUGGAUUAAUACCCGAUGGCGUGGUCACUCCGCAUGGAGUUUCCACUAAAGGUUUUCCGGCCGCGGAUGAGGAUGCGUAGGAUUAGGUAGUAGGCGGGGUAACGGCCCACCUAGCCUUCGAUCAUGAGGGGUUCUGAGAGGGAGGUCCCCCACCACGAACCUGAGACCAGUUGCACACUCAUACGGGGGGCAGGAGUGAGGAAUAUUGGUCAAUGGACGAGGGCCUGAACCAGCAAAGUAGCGUGAAGGAAGACUGCCCUAAGGGUUGUAAACUUCUUUUGUUCGGGAAUAAAGUGCAGUACGCGUACUGUUUUGUAUGUACCGUUCGAAUCAGCAUCGGCUAAUUCCGUGCCAGCCGCCGCGGUAAAAC